GCCGCCGCGGCUGCGCCGGGCCAACUGGGCCGGCGGCCCGAGGGCGCCCCUGGAAGUGCAGCGGCGAGCCUGGGACUGCCGGCUCCGCCUGCUCCUGUGGUCGGGCCGUGAAAGCGCCCGGCUAGUGCCACACGGACAGCCGGCCGGCCUGCAGCUCCUGCUGGGGAGCCAAGCGGGCAGAAGCCCCCCUAAGCCGCUUCACUCUACCGCCACCACCGCCACCACCCUGCCCGGCUUUAACGUCACCAUUAUAAACGCCCUUUACAUGGGUGUCACGUAUCCGUGGCCAUCCGCCCGCUGGCGUCUGGCGCUGUCACUGCGAGCCGCUGUCACUGCAGCGCUGCGCUGGCUCACGAAGGGCUCCGGAGGGUUUGCGCUCUGUUUCGGUGUGUACUCAGAAUAAAUUCUUGGAGCAGGUUUCCGGCUGCGGAGCUGGGCUUUGGCUGUUGGCUGGAAUGCCCAGAAGAAACGAUUGCCCUGAAUGCUGUUCGAUCAACUCCCUGACACAACAGGGCCUGCUGGCUACCUUGGUGUCAUAUUGGCUUUGUAAAACUUAAGCCAGGCUGCCUGCAAGGAUUACACCGAUGGACAGAGACAGAUCUUGGGAAUGCUUCAAGCAGCAGGAUCCCAGGACCUACCUGCCGAAAUAAUUUCUAUGUCAAACCAAACAAUUCCAGGGGCAGAUUUCUGAGACUUCACUGUGGACUUCCAUCUCCUUCCUGUGCUCAUAAAACUCCAGAGGCUGUGAGAUUUUUUUUUUUUCUAUGAAAGUUAUAUCAAUUUUUCUUCACAAAAUCACAUAUAU